UACGGGGGGGGCAAGCGUUGUUCGGAAUUACUGGGCGUAAAGGGCGCGUAGGCGGUUCGCUAAGUUGGAUGUGAAACUCUGGGCUCAACCCAGAGCCUGCAUCCAAAACUGGCGGGCUAGAGUUCUGGAGGGGGUAGCGGAAUUCCUGGUGUAGCGGUGAAAUGCGUAGAUAUCAGGAGGAACACCGGUGGCGAAGGCGGGUCUCUGGGCAGUAACUGACGCUGAGGAGCGAAAGCGUGGGGAGCGAACAGG
rnacentral:rRNA from 1 species